GAAAAGAACCCCGGGAGGGGAGUGAAAUAGAACCUGAAACCCUGCACUUACAAGCUGUGGAAGCACAUUUCUUGUGUGACCGCGUACUUUUUGUAGAACGGGCCAACGAGUUACGUUAAGUAGCAAGGUUAAGCACUUAAGGUGCGGAGCCGUAGCGAAAGCGAGUUUUAACUGAGCGUUCAGUUACUGGACGUAGACCCGAAACCGGGCGACCUACCCAUGAGCAGGAUGAAGCGAAAGUAAAAUUUCGUGGAGGUCCGAACCCACGAGCGUUGAAAAGCUCGGGGAUGACUUGUGGGUAGCGGUGAAAUUCCAAUCGAGCCCGGAGAUAGCUGGUUCUCCCCGAAAUAGCUUUAGGGCUAGCCUCAAGGUGAGAGAUACGGAGGUAGAGCACUGAAUGUCCUAGGGGGUAUUGCACCUACCGAAGACUAUCAAACUCCGAAUGCCGUCAUCUUAUACUUGGGAGUCAGACUGUGGGUGAUAAGAUUCAUAGUCGAAAGGGCAACAGCCCAGAUCGUCAGCUAAGGUCCCUAAAUGUAAGUUAAGUGGUAAAGGAUGUGGGAUUGCACAGACAACCAGGAUGUUGGCUUAGAAGCAGCCACUCAUUCAAAGAGUGCGUAAUAGCUCACUGGUCGAGUGAUCCUGCGCCGAAGAUUUCCGGGGCUAAAACUUACUACCGAAGCUACGGCAUCAGUAAUGAUGGGUAGGGGAGCUUCCCAUACGGGUUGAAGCAUGACCGUAAGGACAUGUGGACAGUAUGGGAGUGAGAAUGUUGGCAUGAGUAGCGAGAUGUGGGUGAGAAUCCCACAGGCCGUAAACCCAAGGUUUCCAGGGGAAGGUUCGUCCGCCCUGGGUUAGUCGGGACCUAAGCUGAGGCCGAAAGGCGUAGGUGAUGGACAACAGGUUGAUAUUCCUGUACUACCGAU
rnacentral:rRNA from 1 species